AUGAUAGUGGAUUGGCCUGAGCAUGCUAGCAUCGCACAUGUUGCACCGCAGGAUGAUGGUGUAUUGCUGGAAUCAAGCCGGAGUGGGAACCAGAUCUCGGGUCCAUCUUUGCUGCACCGGGAUGGCGGACAGUUUCUGAAGAAAUCUUGGUCAUCCCAAGCUGCUGAAGCUGUGGUCAUGUCGGUUCCAUGGCUGACAAGGCAGACCACCAGGGCUGUGACAAGGAAUAUACUCAUCUUUCUGCUUCUGCACUACGAGAUGGAUGAAGGUAAGCCAGGUAUUGUAAUUACAAAGACAUAA
rnacentral:rRNA from 1 species